AGUGAACGCUGGCGGUAGGCCUAACACAUGCAAGUCGAACGGCAGCACAGUAAGAGCUUGCUCUUACGGGUGGCGAGUGGCGGACGGGUGAGGAAUACAUCGGAAUCUACUUUUUCGUGGGGGAUAACGUAGGGAAACUUACGCUAAUACCGCAUACGACCUACGGGUGAAAGCAGGGGAUCUUCGGACCUUGCGCGAUUGAAUGAGCCGAUGUCGGAUUAGCUAGUUGGCGGGGUAAAGGCCCACCAAGGCGACGAUCCGUAGCUGGUCUGAGAGGAUGAUCAGCCACACUGGAACUGAGACACGGUCCAGACUCCUACGGGAGGCAGCAGUGGGGAAUAUUGGACAAUGGGCGGAAGCCUGAUCCAGCCAUACCGCGUGGGUGAAGAAGGCCUUCGGGGUGUAAAGCCCUUUUGUUGGGAAAGAAAAGCAGCAGGUUAAUACCCCGCUGUUCUGACGGUACCCAAAGAAUAAGCACCGGCUAACUUCGUG
rnacentral:rRNA from 1 species